rnacentral:rRNA from 1 species
UACGUAGGGUGCAAGCGUUAAUCGGAAUUACUGGGCGUAAAGCGGGCGCAGGCGGCUAUGCAAGACAGAUGUGAAAUCCCCGGGCUCAACCUGGGAACUGCAUUUGUGACUGCAUGGCUAGAGUACGGCAGAGGGGGAUGGAAUUCCGCGUGUAGCAGUGAAAUGCGUAGAUAUGCGGAGGAACACCGAUGGCGAAGGCAAUCCCCUGGGCCUGUACUGACGCUCAUGCACGAAAGCGUGGGGAGCAAACAGG